rnacentral:rRNA from 1 species
CCUACGGGGGGCUGCAGUGAGGAAUAUUGGUCAAUGGCCGUAAGGCUGAACCAGCCAAGUAGCGUGAGGGAAGACUGCCCUAUGGGUUGUAAACCUCUUUUAUGCGGGGAUAAAGGUGUCCACGUGUGGAUGUUUGCAGGUACCGCAUGAAUAAGGACCGGCUAAUUCCGUGCCAGCAGCCGCGGUAAUACGGAAGGUCCGGGCGUUAUCCGGAUUUAGUGGGUUUAAAGGGAGGGUAGGCCGGUCUUUAAGCGUGCCGUGAACUUUUGUGGCUCAACCAUGGGAGUGCGGCGCGAACUGGAGACCUUGAGUGCGCGGAAGGCAGGCGGAAUUCGUGGUGUAGCGGUGAAAUGCUUAGAUAUCACGAAGAACCCCGAUUGCGAAGGCAGCCUGCCGCAGCGUUACUGACGCUGAAGCUCGAAAGCGCGGGUAUCGAACAGGAUUAGAUACCCCAGUAGUC